AUGGAGUUUGUGCUUCGCUGGGUUUUCCUUGUCACUCUUUUAAAAAGUGUCCAGUGUGAGGUGCAGCUGGUGGAGUCUGUGGGAGACCUAGUGAAGCCUGGGGGGUCCCUGAGACUCUCCUGUGCAGCCUCUGGAUUCACCUUCAGUAGUAAUGGCAUGAGCUGGGUCCGCCAGGCUCCAGGAAAAAGACUGUAGUGGGUCGCAUGGAUUAGCUGUGAUGGAAGUAGCACAAACUACGGAGACUCUGUGAAGGGCCGAUUCACCAUCUCCAGAGACAAUGGCAAGAACACAUUGUAUCUGCAGAUGAACAGCCUGAGAGCCGAGGACACAGCCUUGUAUUAUUGUGUGAAGGACACAGUGAGGGGAAGUCAGUGUGAGACCAGACACAAACCUCCCUGCAGGAACAGAGGAAAGGCUGUGUGGCAGGGGCGCUAA